AUUUGUCUACCCUGGACAUGGCUAACUUCGUUCCGUGGCCACACUGUACACGAGGAAACUGACAUCCAGUGCCUGCCAAGGGACUCGGUCACAUGCUCAGACACCAGGGCCAGCGAAGAAUUCAUCCCCAGCCGCCCGCCGGACCUCAUACCACGCAGUCUGCGAGCCC